rnacentral:rRNA from 1 species
UAGCGUAUAGUACUGUGAAGGAAAGGUGAAAAGCACCCCGGGAGGGGAGUGAAAGAGAACCUGAAACCCUGUGCCUACAAGCACCUAGAGCACGUCAAAGUGUGAUAGGGUACUUUUUGUAGAACGGUCCGGCGAGCGAUUAUAUGCAGCAAGGUUAAGGUCUUAAGGACUGAAGCCGAAGCGAAAGCGAGUUUGAAUAGGGCGUUAAGUUGCAUAUAAUGGGCCCGAAACCGGGUGACCUACCCAUGGUCAGGUUGAAGUGGAAGUAAAAUUCCAUGGAGGACCGAACCGACCUCCGUUGAAAAGGCGGCGGAUGAACUGUGGGUAGCGGAGAAAUUCCAAUCGAACCCGGAGAUAGCUGGUUCUCCCCGAAAUAGUUUUAGGACUAGCCUCAACUUAGAUAUCUGGAGGUAAAGCACUGAAUAGCCUAGCGGCCGAGAGGUUAGCGAAGCUUAUCAAACUCAGAAUGCCAGAAUAUUGAUGGUUGGGAGUCAGACAGUGUCAGAUAAAUGUCAUUGUCAAAAGGGAAACAGCCCAGAUCUACAGCUAAGGUCCCAAAGUUAGGUUAAGUGGAAAACGAUGUGAAGAUACGCAGACAACCAGGAUGUUGGCUCAGAAGCAGCCACUCAUUCAAAGAGUGCGUAAUAGCUCACUGGUCGAGCGUCUUUGCGCGGAUAAUUUAACGGGGCUAAACCUAACACCGAAGCUUAGGCAACAUGUUUACAUGUUGGGUAGGGGAGCGUUGUAUGCGCGGUGAAACAGUAGCGUAAGCGGCUGUGGAGUGCAUACAAGUGAGAAUGCCGGAAUGAGUAGCGCGAAUGCAGUGAGAAUCUGCAUGGCCGAAAGCCUCAGGUUUUUGGAGGAAGGUUCGUCCGCUCCAAGUUAGUCGGGAGCUAAGGUGAGGCCGGAAGGCGUAGCCGAUGCACAGACGGUAGAGAUUCCGUCACCACCAAAAGAGUUAAGCACAGGGACACAUUCAAAGUCUCAGAGCCGGGUGUUGGUUCCGGUAGAGAUCGAGGGAAAAUAGUACCGAAGUCUGGGAUAGAGGAUGGCGAGAAAAGCUGUGUGUAUUUCUGCGGUGCCCGUACCGCAAACCGACACAGGUAGGUAGGAAGAAGAUUCUAAGGCCAACGGGAGAAGGGUUGUUAAGGAACUCGGCAAAUUGACCCCGUAACUUCGGGAGAAGGGGUGCUCUAGCAAUAGAGCCGCAGAGAAUCGGCCCAAGCAACUGUUUACCAAAAACACAGGUUUGUGCUAAAUCGAAAGAUGACGUAUACGAGCUGACGCCUGCCCGGUGCUGGAAGGUUAAGAGGAGAUGUGCAAGCAUUGAAUCGAAGCCCCAGUGAACGGCGGCCGUAACUAUAACGGUCCUAAGGUAGCGAAAUUCCUUGUCAGGUAAGUUCUGACCCGCACGAAAGGCGUAAUGAUUUGGGCACUGUCUCAACAGCCCGCCCGGCGAAAUUGUAGUACCGGUGAAGAUGCCGGUUUCCCGCGACAAGACGGAAAGACCCCAUGGAGCUUUACUGUAGCCUAAUAUUGGGUUUCGAUGUUGCAUGCACAGGAUAGAUGGGACACUGGGAAGCACGGGCUUUGGCUUGUGUGGAGUGGCCGUUGGGAUACCAUCCUUGCGAUAUUGGAAUUCUAACCUGCGCCUUUGAAUCAAGGCGGGGGACAUUGUUAGGUGGGCAGUUUGACUGGGGCGGUCGCCUCCUAAAAAGUAACGGAGGCGUUCAAAGGUUCGCUCAGCUUGAACGGAAAUCAAGCAAGAGAGUGCAAACGCAGAAGCGAGCCUAACUGCGAGACUGACGGGUCGAGCAGUAACGAAAGUUGGAGUUAGUGAUCCGGUGGUAUGUGAGUGGAAAUGCCAUCGCUCAACGGAUAAAAGUUACCCUGGGGAUAACAGGCUGAUCUCCCCCAAGAGUCCACAUCGACGGGGAGGUUUGGCACCUCGAUGUCGGCUCAUCGCAUCCUGGGGCUGAAGUAGGUCCCAAGGGUUGGGCUGUUCGCCCAUUAAAGCGGUACGCGAGCUGGGUUCAGAACGUCGUGAGACAGUUCGGUCCCUAUCUGUCGUGGGCGCAGGAUAUUUGAUGGGAGCUGUCCCUAGUACGAGAGGACCGGGAUGGACGUACCUCUGGCGCACCAGUUGUUCUGCCAAGGGCAUAGCUGGGCAACUAUGUACGGAUCGGAUAAACGCUGAAAGCAUCUAAGCGUGAAGCCGACCCAAAGAUAAGAUAUCCCACUGAUUUGAUCAGGUAAGACCCCUUGA